rnacentral:lncRNA from 1 species
CUUGUGAGUUCGCAAAGGGACGCCAGAGAAAAAGAUGUCAAGCGGAAAAGGAGUCUACAACAAGGCGACUUCAAACGGAUACAAUCGUGUACUUGGUCCCUCUUCGUCAGGAGCACCAAUCAUCAAUCGUCUGCUUCGUCCCACGGUUCCCGGUUAGGUGGCUUCAGGUUUUGUCGGCUGCGCCGCUGAGAACGGAAUAUCGGUUUUAUGUGUCUUGUGUCUUUUCGUGAUUUCCGAUUCUCCCUUUCAGCUCGUACGGCCAAUUCCACGCAAAAGGAAAUGAGGAUUAUGGGCAGAAGCACCAAAGGAAUUCUAAACAAUGGACGAAGUUUGUUCGUGCUGAAUAGUAGGAGCGAACGUCCACACGGAACUCUUGGUUGUUUUGCUCAGGAAGUAAGAUUGGUUGGGGUCUUGAGCAUCCAUUUAACCUCGGAGAAGGCAAGAGCAGUGCAGAGUGAAAAGAGCAAAGAAAUCGAGACUCGCCUGGAAAGAGGACCGAGGAGGAGGAAAAAAACGGCUGGGCUGAGCAGGAACUAGCGAGCACCUUUUCUUUUGGAACUCAGCGCGUAAGAUGGGAACUGGCGGAACAUGUGACUGGACAGAGAGGCCGAUAACUCUCUGAACAAUCAGACAGCUCAACGGGGGAGAAGAGUCAGAGAGAAUAGAAAUCCACACGUUUUCCGCGUUCGCUUCCAGACCCAAAGCCUCACCUCCGUGACAGUCCCUGCGUUUCCCGUUUCUUCCUCGUCUCUGGUUGCAGGGUUGCAUUGAAUGCCACUCUCCUUCCAUUCCUAAUUCCUGCCCGAGCAUCUUCUGUUGAUUUCCAGAGAACCUCGCCUUUCUGCUUGGCUCCGUUUUAAACGUUUUUCUUCGCUUUCCACUGCUGCGUCUUCUUUUGCGGGGCUUUUCGUGGUGUCUCUGUGCAGAUGGUAAGGUUUCCACAAUUUCUUCAGUGGAAAAACCUUGUCGCAUCUUCCAGCUUCCCGCACAGUCAGUGCUCGGCAAAAGCCGACCACGGCUCAUAUUCCGCGGUGACUUGUCAGUCCGUGUGAUGCAGCGCGUCGUUCUUCCUACUGGGUUCUGAACAGCGAACGCGCGAAAGCUGUGGCUGCUUGUCUUUUCUGAGUGCCACCUCUCACACUGUGCCUUGAGGUUAAACACUCCAGCGAGUACGUUGGUGCCAUCAAGAGACGGCAGAGCGUGAACGGGCUUCUGAAUAAAGGUUGCGUGGCGAAAAGCCUCUUGCAUCCUGAUUUUGCGCGAGUCCUCGGCCUGUUCUCUAGGUCGACAGAUUCUUGCAGUUGCUCAGGUUAUCUGUUCCGCGCAGCUAGGAAAAGAUACAACAAGCAGAAGCGUGGCAAAGGAAAACGACCGACCAAAGUGAAGUUCCUCUCACCGCCGCCUCUCUUCUCUGUUCCAUGCAUUUCUCUCUUUUGCACCCUUGCGCGCAACGCGCGAAAGGAAGCAGGCGUGCGUUAAAUUCUGACUGAUCUGGAUGUGUAGUCGCUUGGAGGAGGGCGGCGCGGAAAAAGAAAGAACGGGAGAGGUCCCAGGAAAGAAAGGAAGCCAUCUCUUUGGAGAGAGAUGCCCCUGCGGUGAAAUUCGUCUGACCUAGAUGGAAAAGAUGCGAACGCGUAAAAAUAUUGAGUUUCUUCCUGUCUGCCGCUCCCUCUUUCAGGCG